AUUGAACGCUGGCGGCAUGCCUUACACAUGCAAGUCGAACGGCAGCACGGGGCAACCUGGUGGCGAGUGGCGAACGGGUGAGUAAUGCAUCGGAACGUACCUUUCAGUGGGGGAUAACGUAGCGAAAGUUACGCUAAUACCGCAUAUUCUGUGAGCAGGAAAGCAGGGGAUCGCAAGACCUUGCGCUGAUUGAGCGGCCGAUGUCAGAUUAGCUAGUUGGUGAGGUAAAGGCUCACCAAGGCGACGAACUGUAGCGGGUCUGAGAGGAUGAUCGGCCACACUGGAACUGAGACACGGUCCAGACUCCUACGGGAGGCAGCAGUGGGGAAUUUUGGACAAUGGGGGCAACCCUGAUCCGGCCAUGCCGCGUGAGUGAAGAAGGCCUUCGGGUUGUAAAGCUCUUUCGGCCGGGAAGAAAUCGCACGGGCUAAUACCCUGUGUGGAUGACGGUACCGGAAUAAGAAGCACCGGCUAACUACGUGCCAGCCGCCGCCGUAACAC
rnacentral:rRNA from 1 species